AUUGAACGCUGGCGGCAUGCUUUACACAUGCAAGUCGAACGGCAGCAUGGGUGCUUGCACCUGAUGGCGAGUGGCGAACGGGUGAGUAAUGUAUCGGAACAUGUCCGGAAGUGGGGGAUAACGUAGCGAAAGUUACGCUAAUACCGCAUAUGCCCUGAGGGGGAAAGGUGGGGAUCGCACGACUCAUCGCUUUCGGAGUGGCCGAUAUCAGAUUAGCUUGUUGGUGAGGUAAAGGCUCACCAAGGCGACGAUCUGUAGCUGGUCUGAGAGGACGACCAGCCACACUGGGACUGAGACACGGCCCAGACUCCUACGGGAGGCAGCAGUGGGGAAUUUUGGACAAUGGGGGCAACCCUGAUCCAGCCAUGCCGCGUGAGUGAAGAAGGCCUUCGGGUUGUAAAGCUCUUUCAGAUGGAAAGAAAUCGCUAUUCCUAAUACGAGUGGUGGAUGACGGUACCGUCAGAAGAAGCACCGGCUAACUACGUGCCAGCAGCCGCCGCAGUAA
rnacentral:rRNA from 1 species